rnacentral:rRNA from 1 species
UUGUGGUGCUGGGGACUCACGGGAGACCGCCGGGGUCAACUCGGAGGAAGGUGGGGACGACGUCAAGUCAUCAUGCCCCUUAUGUCUUGGGCUGCACACGUGCUACAAUGGCCGGUACAAAGAGCUGCGAUGCCGUGAGGCGGAGCGAAUCUCAAAAAGCCGGUCUCAGUUCGGAUUGGGGUCUGCAACUCGACCCCAUGAAGUCGGAGUCGCUAGUAAUCGCAGAUCAGCAUUGCUGCGGUGAAUACGUUCCCGGGCCUUGUACACACCGCCCGUCACGUCACGAAAGUCGGUAACACCCGAAGCCGGUGGCCCAACCCCCUUGUGGGGAGGGAGCCGUCGAAGGUGGGACUGGCGAUUGGGACGAAGUCGUAACAAGGUAGCCGUACCGGAAGGUGCGGCUGGAUCACCUCCUUU